rnacentral:rRNA from 1 species
UACGGAGGGUGCGAGCGUUGUCCGGAAUCAUUGGGCGUAAAGGGCGCGUAGGUGGCCCGGUCAGUCCGUGGUGAAAGCGCGGGGCUCAACCCCGCGUCGGCCAUGGAUACUGCUGGGCUGGAGCACUGUAGAGGCAGGCGGAAUUCCGGGUUGUAGCGGUGGAAUGCGUAGAGAUCCGGAAGAACACCGGUGGCGAAGGCGGCUUACUGGUCCGGUUCUGACGCUGAGGCGCGAAAGCGUGGGGAGCAAACAGG